GACAUCUUUAGUCAAAACUUCAACCAGUGUGACUCAGACAUAAAUAUCUGGUAUUGAUCAGUGCAGGAGAAGUUUUCCAGAUUUCUUGUAUUUCCUGCAAGAUAAUCAAUCUAAACAUGUGUCCAAACAAACAAGUAAACAACAAAUAAUGGUAAAUCGAUUCACAUUUUAGUUUCAUAAAGUUCAGCCAACUUUAUAAUUGCCCUCACCCCUUGACUGAGUGUACACUUGAGCAGUGUGUUUAGAGGGGGGAGCAUAGCCCUACUAUUGGGCACCUGUAUAAAAUGAUACUGGAGAUGUCACUAAACAAGUUAACAAGAAUGAUUCCAGUUAAUUUGCGCUGAAAUGGCUUUCCAUAGAGUUCCUCUCCUCCUGCUGCUGUGUGGAGCCGAGGAGGUGGGGGAGCACGUGGCUCAGAGCAGCUCAGAGAGGAGGACGCUCAGAAUCCGCCCCGGCUGACUCCCUGCAGCUCAUCUCCACAUGAAAAUCUGAACUCGGAAAGCAGCUGCUGGAACAACACUGAUGUCUGGGAAGCUCCAGCUCCUCCUUCUGUGUGGGAGCUGCUUAUGUCUCCGUGGAGCUCCCAUCAAGCUCCCAAAUAUCUCUCUAUCUGGCACCACACAUGGAGAAUCUACAUCCUCAACUGCAGGACGAUUGCCGAAUGUAGGAGAGACUCGAGAUCAGCUGACGGAGACGGAAAACUGGGACACUUCAGGCACACUGGAGCCAGAGAAGGAUGUCCAAGAUGCUCAGAGUCGAGAAAAUGAAGAAACGAGGAUCGAUGGUCUUCCAGGUGAGGCAGAACCGCGAGGAAUUCCAGAAGUGCCAACGAGAAGGUCUACGUCAGCAUCACCACAGCUGGAGAGACAGAAGAGAAAACAAAGUGGAGCGCAAGAAAACCAAGAAACAAGCUCGCCAUCUUCCGCAGACGCCACUCAAUUCUGGACCCAGAAACAGACCGUCUUCAGUCCCAGCCUGAUGUCUGACACCCCACAGAUGUUCACACCUCUAACAGGAUGUGACAAAGGCACCAUCUCCUCUUCAUCAGAUCAAUUUUCAGAUGAAGGACUGAUGUGCAGACAGGAAAGGCGACGGGCCGGGACAGCAACACCUGCUGCUGCUGAAAAAGUAGACCUUCUGCCUGAAGAUGGACCCACUAAGGCUGUAUCGUCACCCGUGGCUCCUCCGAUCGAGCCUUUCAAAGUCCAGCCACCGGCAGCAGCCCAAAUUACUCCAGGGAUGAAUUUUCAUCAGCGUCUAGAUGCCAUGACAACCAGUGGGCUGCUUCUUUCCAAAGGGAACCAUCUGGUCACAGGACAGACUGAUAGUGACGAAGAUACUUGGACUGGUUCUACCCUACUACCAGACCAGAAUCCUCCCCGGCAGACAUCUGGAGAUGAUCUAGAACCAGUGAGCUCUUCAAGUCCACCUUUAUUACAAGUUAAGACCAAGCUGGAGACAGAAGAGCAGGAUGAAGACGAGAACUCUGAAGAAUCAGAGGAAGAGGACAGCGAGGAAGACCUGACGGAACGGUUUACAGAGUCACCAUAUGGUCACAUUCCUCCACCUCCGCUUGCGUAGCUGGUUGGAGCUCAUCAAAGAAAAGGCCGGACAUGUGUCUGGGAUGCUGGUUCCUGUUGGGAUUGGAAUCACCGGAGCCCUGAUGAUCGUUGGCGUUCUCUACAGCGUAAGGGUGGUUUACCGUAGGAGGAGGGAAAACUUUAAAGAGCUGAGGAGGAAAGUCAGACAGCCAGAGCACCUACACGAGCGUGGUUCCAGUGUCCAGGACCAGGCCAUGCUGCUGGUCAACAGCUCAGAGGAUGAAUUCUAAUGUUUGCUGGGACUCACCUGGUCCUCAGGUGUGACAGAAUCUGAGGAGCUUUUUAACUUGAAACGAGUGAAACGUCCUGUUUCUGAUUUGGGCAGGUUUGGUUUCACGAGAGAUACAAAGGAGAAUAAAAUUAGGGGAUGGUGUAAAAGAUGAUAGAGGCAAUCGUACUCUAAGUUUGUCUCAAAGUGUCUAGUCGUAGCCAAAAAACAUGGCUACAAGAGGAGACGUGUUCAGAAGUCAGAAGUUUUAGACCCAAAAGUCUUUGUUGGAGAUAAUCAGGAGGAAAACAUGUUCAUAUAGAUGGAGCUUGCUGUGUUAGUUUUUAUUUACUACUAAAUAUUUUCUGUAUUUCUAAACUUUUCAUCACUUAAAAGAAGAAAUAUCUUUAUCCACAACCAUAGUAGCUGAUUUCUUUGAUAUUAAAAUUAGAAGAGGAUAUUUAUGUACAAAACUGUAUAAUGAGGAUUAGGUUCUAUAACACAGUUGUUUAGCCUCUUUUUGGGAGAAUUAACGUCUCGACUUUUCUGUUUUGUUCUUUUACUUUCGAUAUAGUAGCUGCAACCAACUUGUUGAGAUAUAAUGUUGUUUUUACACACAAAAUACAUUUUAAAUGCUUAAAAGGCAUAACUUGCAAUAAAUUCAACAUAGUUUGGACAUCACUGUUAGCUAACCAACUAGAAAGCCAACACUUGCUAAGUCUAGACAAUUGACUGUUUAUGAGAACUGGAUCAAGUGAAUGUGACGUGAUCCCAUCUUAGAUGACUUACUUCCAAUUCCAACAAAAUUAAGUAAGUCAUCACUUUUUCGUGAAAUGGACAUCGCCAAAAAACUAUGAACUUGAAACCAAAAAUUUUCAGUAAGGUGGGAUUAGUCUGAAUUCUAAAACUAUAAAAAAAACACCACAAACAAUAUAAAAGGAACACCAUGCAAAAGAGUAAAACAUUCAUACAAAACUCCAGAAAACUAAUUUAAAAGAUCCUGAUCUAUGACGAUUUCUAUGGCAACCACUCUCACCUCACCACUUGAAAGUGGACGUGGAAGAAUCUGUCAAUCAAAUAUUUAUAAAAUGUGAGAACUACUUUUGUUGAGGUAUCUGAUUGGUCAGCUUAUAACUGACACAUAUAAUAAUUGAAUACUAGUUGUUUAUUUCUCAAGAGAUUUUGGGUUAUUGGAACCAAUAAGUACUUCCUGUUUUAAAAACGAGGGGGAGGAGUCACUCAGUCCUGGUCUCAUAUACAGUCAAUGGCUCUUAUUGACUUUCUCCUCUUUGGCUUGACACUUAAGUUUAACUUUUUGAACACUUGUGCUUUUAAUCUUGUCAUUUUUAGCUGAUUUUAUUCCUUCUUUAUAAGACAUAAACCCAAAUUGAGAAACACAUUUUUCAAUAUCUGCCUCAUCCCGAGGUAAGACAGCUUUGAGUUUGGUUUUAUGCUGAUGACUCUCAGAUGUGCCUUAAAGGAAGCUAUUUUUAAAUUAUUUUAGUUUCAUUUGCCUUUUGACUACUUUAAUACUGGAGCUGUUGCUGAUAACAGGAAAUAACACAUGUAACUCUUCAGUCAUUUACACAAUUAAAGCAAUACCAACAGAUUCUGAAGCUCCAGUCUUAAAGAAUUAACUUAUAAAAUGGAAUAAAAGUUAAAAAAAAGAUGAUUGUGUUUAGCCUGAAGUGUAUACCCCUUCUCCUGUCUCUCAUUUGGACCUUGGUCCACAAGAUUUUGAGUUUCUACAACAUGAACAGAUUCCAGAUGUUGUGACGCUUUUGUUCAUAGUUUAAUAACCAGUUGCCAGGGUCAACUUUUUAGAUAAAUCCCCCUUUAAGUGAGAGAGACCUGGUUUCUUUUUUAAUUGUUGGCUUUGAACUCAGACUGAGUUACACAUUUUGAACUACAUUAAAAUUUCAGUUUGUUUUUUAAGUCAUUAAUAAUUUAAUAACACUUUUGUAAUUAAUUCUGAUUUUUUUAAAGGCUAUUGUUCUGUGUUUUUUCAAUGUUUUUAGUUUCUGUGAGUAAUUUCACUUGCAUGAUGUACAGAUCUUUUUGGUCAAAGUUUUUAAAUCUGUUCAAUAAAUAAAAUGGACCAGUCAAAACUUCAUUUAAUCUUUAUUAAAAAUCUGAGAAAUUG